AGAGGAACCCCAUCAAACUUGGAUUUUGUAAGUAGUUGCGAAUGAACACAAAUUUGAUCACUUUGGCAAUCUGUACACAUUGCUGUGUAACAAUUUGUAUACGUUGGCACAGUGCUAUCAAAGCUGCAUGCAAGUGUUUUUUGAAAGGAUACAACAUGGGAUGUGAUAUUCAUGUGUGUGUGCCUGCUUUGUCCACAGCCUGUGCUGUAUGAAUCACAUUUCUUGCAACUGAAAUGCUAAUGGCAUGGUAAAGUUCAUGUGACAUGACACAAGCUUGAGAUUCAUGAUGUGCAAGUACCAUGAGGGAAAUGUGAAAAGGACUUUGGAAAGAGAAUUAAAUAAAGCCUGCAUUUGCUGACAAUGAAAGCAAGUGUGGAUGUUCAUGUAAUUGUUACUGCAUCAAUCAAUGUUCAUCUUGGUUACUGCAUGCUUUAUAUUACAGCUCAGAACAUGAAGUGUGUGUAACAGCUCUGCUUUGAUUUUUCCCACAUGGGAUCAGUUGAAACAUUGUGAGAGCACUCUUCAGUUUCCUUAUGUACCCACCAGCUUUGUCCACUCGCGUGUUGGCACACAUGUAAUGAUGAUGUGUUUAUGCAAGAUACUUCUGUGCUCAACAACAUGUUGUGUCAAUCCUCACU
rnacentral:rRNA from 1 species